rfam:Shigella dysenteriae Sd197 plasmid pSD1_197, complete sequence.
GAGAGCCGGAUGCGGGAAAUCUGCAAGUCCGGUUCGAUGAGAGGGACGUUGUUUUUACUUGUUGUUGAUGAAGACUUUCAU